GGCGCGCGCGGGGCUCACGAGCUCCGAGAGGGGCCGCGCCGGGGAGAGGAGCCGCGAGGGCAGCAUCGCUGCCAGGCACAGCGGCGGGGCGCUGGGAAGGGCUGGGCUCGCUCCAACUCCCUCCGCCAGUUCCCAGCCUGGGGUGCAGUCAGCGGCUGCGUGGAGCGAUAGCGAACUGUGCCCGCAAAGCGCAGAGCUGGGCGACACGGGUGUCCCGUGCCCCUCCAAAUGGGUCCCGAGCCCGCAGUGAUCGACCACCAGCUUGGGAGGAUAAGCAGGAGGACUUGGGACCCAGUCUGCAAAGGGAUCCGUACAGAGGGGCCCUUAACUGCACAGAGGCAGAGGAACCUGAAGAAGAGCUCUGUGUCGCCCCACAGCUUGUCUCUCUCCCCAACACAAGUUGGUCCAAUACAAAAUAUUACCUCACCCACCUUGUCCCUCCAGAAUCCCACCCAUGCACAGUGAGGGGUGGCAGGCUUGUAUUCCACUAGGCCGCUUACAAGUACAAAACUGCAAUUGUACACAUAGUGGGUUUUAAGCAUUUUCAUCCUGUCAUGCACAAGAGAAUGUCUCAUGGACCAGCUCCCUUCCACACACCUGAAAUCCCCCCUCCCAGCAAACUUCCUCAAAAUAUUAAUUCUGUGGACUCCAGUGCACAGGCUGGGUUGGAGGUUUUUUGGAGGGGGAUGGGGCAGGAGUCCCAUGUACAGGGUAGGAGGGAGUUUGUACCUGGAGCCUUUCUGAGUUUCCUUCCUCACCCUUUGCAUUUUCUCAUGUCCUUCUCUCAACACUGCCUCUCUUCACUGCAUUGGUGCACCUAGCACAUGCAGCAGCAUGCGUGCUCUCCAGCUGCACAGCUAGCAGAAGAGCUAUUAAUAGUUCCAACUCCUUGUGCAGAAUCCUCUGUUUCCCUCAUGUGAGACAUAGUGUCUCCUCCUGCAGCAGCUGAACCCCCAGAGCUGGUUAGGGGGGAAGCUCAGCCUUUCCUUUCUCUGCAUUGCAGCGUUCACUUUUCAUUGCAUUUUUUAAUUUCAUUUUUUUAAAUGAUUUUACUGCUGGUGAAAGAGGGUGAAUUCACUGCCUAACAGACUGAAGGUUUUUGGUUUGUCCUAGCGCAAUGCCUUUGCAGCUCUUCCUAUGCCCUUCUGCCAAUGGGCACCACUCAUAAGAGUUUACCCCACCACUCACUCAGGGUGCUGAGAGCCAUUGAACCAAACUGUAAACCUUGUAUAUAAUAGAAACCACUUCAAGCCAGGGGGUAUGGCAGCAUCCCUAGUUCCAGCAUCUAUGCCUCUCACCAGUGCACCUACCAGUGGUAAUGGGAACUUCCCCCUGAAGUUGACUGUAAAGGCUAACGUCCAUGCCAGAGCAGCCCUUUUUUUAGUUUCAUUUAAAUCCAAAUCAUGCAGAUCAUUGAGUGAGCUAUGGACAAGUGUACUACCAUAAAGGUAUCAAUCCUAACCUACAAAAUUAUAAUUUAGCACACUGUUAAACUCCCCCCACCUUCCCUAAACAAGAGACUGUUCUUCCUGGAUUCCAUUUUGUUAAGAUACAAGACGUCACCAUCUUCACAGUCCUGAAACCCUCCAAGAAAUUUGAGUGGAGCAAAAUACAAAUCUGUUUAUCUUCAGGGUGGGUACAGAAUGAGGAAAAGGCAGCUCUACAGUAUGCUUUUUGGUUUCCCUUACACCUAGAAGGGAUGGGAUCAAGGCAGCAUCACCGCCCCCCAACCUGGUGUAAAAUAACACUGACCAAGUUAGAAUCACACUCUGAGGUAUGAUUCUGGGGGCAGCCACGUGACCAUGCAAUCAGUGAGUCCAAGAAGAAAUGCAGAAAUACAUGGUCUGUGGGUUUCCUGACAGCUACAGAUAAUGAAGGCUAAUCCCUCUGCCACUGAGAAGCAAACAGCCACCCCUCUAUUUCCUAAAUUCAUAACCCAAUAACUUUAGCAUAGGGUCCUGUGUUAUAGAAUAUCAGGGUUGGAAGGGACCUCAGGAGGUCAUCUAGUCCAACCCCCCUGCUCAAGGCAGGACUAAUCCCCAGACAGAUUUUUACCCCAGAUCCCUAAAUGGCCCCCUCAAGGAUUGAACUCACAGUGCUGGGUUUAGCAGGCCAAUGCGCAAACCACUGAACUAUCCCUCGGCGGUCAUCACUAUUGUUCUGUGGAUCCAGUGUGUAAGGAGCUUGGAAUCCUUGCAGUUUUGUCUUCAGACCUAGCUUCUCUAGACCAUUUUGGCAGAGCUACUACUGCUAAUCUAUGUUCUGUACCAAAUGCUGUUGUUACCACUCAGCAACCAGUUGUCUAUCUUACAGUUAGGAAAUAAAUUACCACUUCAGAAAAGUAUAAGUCUAUGGAAUAGUUUUGCAGCACAAGACUGCAUUUCACUCGUACAAGGAGAAAUGUAAUCUAUUUAAAAUCAGUGAUAGGGCACUGUGACUUUUGCAGUGUGAGUUUUACUGCCUAGUAGCCAUAGUUUUAUAGUGCCUCUAUUAUAAACUGCAUUUCAGCUCUUUAGUGCAGAGCAGAUCAGCAGUUGAGAUCAGCAAUGCUGCAAGUUGCAUUGUGUGUUGCAUAGUGAUAAGGGCUUUAGCAGAUCUGAGGAUGGAUUGAGGUUGCUGAUUCAGUUUACAAGAUGGGCUGGGGUAAUGAGAAAACCUAAAUGAACAGAGCAACACAUGGGAUUUGUACUGGUUAAUGUGUCCUUUCCACCCCACCUUCCCCCUAAACCGCCACUCAUUCUUAAUGUCACUUUAGUAGUUCAUAACGUAUGAAGUGCAUUUGUACAGCAUUAUUCUUUUUAAAGAGUGUUUUAUUACUAAUUAAUUAUUCCUCAAUACACCUAUUUGUAGCAAUGUAGCAUUAUUAUCCCUUUUUCAGAAACAGAGAAGAUACACAUCCAUAGUUGCAUCAUUUUCAUCUUACUUUGAAGAUUUCUAAUGCUACCAUGCAUUUGAAGUAAAUUUUAUAAAUAACUGUCAAUGAAACAUUGAUUUUUGGGGAAAGGAUCUCAGAAAACUGGAAGAGAAAUACAUUUUAUCAGAAGUUGGACUUAUUUUAUUUUUGCAUAGCUCAAGUCCCACAUAUCCUGUUUUUGAACCUUGAGAAGAGCUCCCUCAGUGCAGUAUGAAGAAGCCUGCAAUGUUGCUGCCUGUCCUAUACUUGUUUUAUGGAUAAACAGAGAUCUUCCUUCCAACUGUCGGACCAACAUUUUUCAAGACUCAGUGCCUACAAGUUGGAAAGUACUGUAUAUUACCCAAUGUGGCUGGUGCAGUCUAGCCAUUUCUCUCCUUCUCACUCACAGUUAGUUGACCUGGGUUGGAAAACUCCAAGCACGCUGGCAGUCCAGUGCUGCCUGGACUACACUGGGAACUCUACCAUCUAACCCAGCUGGAGUAUUUCAGCUUUAAUUGCAUGGUAGGGAGGUCCACACCAGAGUCUCUUGGGUUGGCUGCUGCUGUCUCUGCAGCAUCAACCCAAACUGCCUCAGCUCUGCUUCAGCCACUGCUGCUCUGCACCAUCUAUCACUUUGAAAGCGCCACUGCUACUCUGCAUCGUCUGUUGCCUCAGAGCUUCCACCACGGCUCGGUACCAUCCACUGCCUCAAAGCCACCCUCAGCUCUGUACCAUCCACUGCUCUAUAGCGGUCUCAGCUCAGUUCUUUUAGAAGGACCACUAUCAUCUAGGAACCUUAACUGAGUCCUCAUCACCAGAGAGGCACACCCAACAAAAGACAGAAGAUGUUUUCCUUCUUUUCAGCUCUGUCCAGGCUCACUUACCCAAAUAUGCAUGACAGCAGUCUCAGUGAGGGUGACCCCAGGCAUAUGCAAUGUUGAUGUCUAGUCCUUGUAUUUCCCCAACAAGAUCAGUAACAUUUAAUUGCCCCCAAACUCAAAGUUUAACUGUACUUUUACCAAAAUGCCCCAAACUGUCAUACCUAUUCAAUCAAUUCCCUUUGCCCUCCAACAGAUGUUGGCAGAGAGCCUCCUCCCCCGUGGAGCCCCUGCUCAUCUGGAGUCUUAAGCAGCUCUCAGCCAUUCUUCUCCCAUUUCACCAAUGGGUGACAAUAGAGAGCUCUUUAUUCUCUAACACAGGGGUAGGCAACCUAUGGCAUGCGUGCCAAAGGCGGCACGCGAGCUGAUUUUCAGCGGCACUCUCACUGCCCGGGUCCUGGCCACAAGU